AAGAUAAAGAAACUGGUUCAAGAAUAAUUAAGCAUGGCAUGUUACAUUAAGACACAAAUGAAUUAAUAAUUUACACAUUUUUUAUUGUUAUUUUUAGGUUUCGAACAAAGAUUAUCUUUGAAAUGAUUAGAUAUAUAGUUUAAGGUUUUAAUCCUUCGAAUCAACCGGAAAGACAAUAAUCUAUUCAUACACGUCCUUGUGUAAACAAAAUUAAUUAGUGAUUAAUUAAAGGUAGAAAGACAAUAUUUUCCCCGCAGUGAACGAAAAAACUAAUUAAAAAUACUGUAGUUCUGUAUGUUAAGUACAUUUUAUUAAACAUGACAAGAGGAGAUAAUCUAUAAUUUAAGUUGUGUAUAGAAUAAACGUGGCAGGAAGUGCCCGCUAGAUGGAGCUAACAAUAGUAAUAUAAUUUUAUUGUUUUCACUAUUACUUUAGACAAUCGGUUGGCACCAUACUGAAUGUGUGUGAAAAGCCUCACACCUUUCUCACUCCACCUGUCAACUGUUCACGUGAUGCUAAUCAUCCUCUGCCAGGCACGGAAGGGGAGACACGAGACCGCUGCUGGCCAUGACAAACGGAGGCGGUGGAUGGAGGAGGAAGGUGUGUGAACGAGGACAGGAGGAAGAAAGGAGGGGAUAGGACACAAAGAAUGCUGACGCCUGGCAUCCCACUUUCACAUAAAGCAAUUUAAUUCCGUAAAAAAAAGCUCUGGACCUUUGGCCUUCACUGAAGCGAAGCUAUGCGCCAUAACUCGGAGAGCCAAGACAAAGGGAGAGAAAUUACGGUGUGGAUGCUGUUUAGACAACCCCGAGGCGACGGGCGCUUCAAUCAAGCAGCUUCAGUAGUGAUUUUAUUAUGACGAUUUCCCGUCUGCCUCGCGUCUUUCUCGGGCCCGACGAGAUAGAGGGCAAUGAAUAUCAAGGCAUUGAAGUGAUUUCCCCUGGAGUGUGAUGGAGUGUGGACUGGGUGUCAGCGUGCUGGGAACGGCAGCGCGGCCAUGUUGACUUCGAGAGCGUCUCGAGCAGCACAUCAUCUGUGUGCGCAUUUAUCUUCAUCGACUGCGUCGUCUGUCUCGUUGCAUCACAGUUGUCGCUUCUGGCACGCCUGCUGCUGUCUUUGUCCUGGACUGCUUUCAUCUCGCUUCUGCCAGCGGCUGUAAAAACAU
rnacentral:misc_RNA from 1 species